rnacentral:rRNA from 1 species
UUGGAGGGCAAGUCUGGUGCCAGCAGCCGCGGUAAUUCCAGCCCCAAUAGCGUAUAUUAAAGUUGUUGCAGUUAAAAAGCUCGUAGUUGAACUUCGGGGUCUACCCAUUGGUCAGGCUUAAUUGUCUGCACUGGUGAGAUGGAUCUCUACCUUCUGAGGAACUUUCAUGCCAUUUAUUUGGUGUGAUGGGAAAUCAGGACUGUUACUUUGAAAAAAUUAGAGUGUUUAAAGCAGACUAUCGUCUGAAUACAUUAGCAUGGAAUAAUGAAAUAGGACGGACUGAUUCUAUUUUGUUGGUUUCUAGGAUCGAUGUAAUGAUUAAUAGGGAUAGUUGGGGGCAUUAGUAUUCAAUUGUCAGAGGUGAAAUUCUUGGAUUUAUUGAAGACUAACUACUGCGAAAGCAUUUGCCAAGGAUGUUUUCAUUAAUCAAGAACGAAAGUUAGGGGAUCGAAGACGAUCAGAUACUGUCGUAGUCUUAACCAUAAACUAUGCCGACUAGGGAUCGGAUGAUGUUAAUUUUUUAAUGACUCAUUCGGCGCCUUACGGGAAAC